rnacentral:tRNA from 1 species
GCCUGGCUAGCUCAGUUGGUAGAGCAUGUGACCCUUGAUCUUGGGGUUGUGAGUUCAAGCCCCAUGUUGGGUA